rnacentral:rRNA from 1 species
UACGUAGGGUGCAAGCGUUGUCCGGAAUUAUUGGGCGUAAAGAGCUCGUAGGCGGUCUGUCACGUCGGCUGUGAAAUCCCGAGGCUCAACCUCGGGUCUGCAGUCGAUACGGGCAAACUAGAGUAUUGCAGGGGAGACUAGAAUUCCUGGUGUAGCGGUGAAAUGCGCAGAUAUCAGGAGGAACACCGGUGGCGAAGGCGGGUCUCUGGGCAAUAACUGACGCUGGAGGAGCGAAAGCGUGGGGAGCGAACAGG